UCGAGGAUCAUUCGCAAUGGGCGCAAGCCUGACGAUGUGACGCUGCGUGGAGGACGAAGGCCUUCGGGUCGUAAACUCCUGUCAUGAGGGAAAAAGGUCUUGCGGGCUAACAUCCCGCAAGCUCGAUGGUACUUCAAGAGGAAGCCACGGCUAACUCUGUGCCAGCAGCCGCGGUAAUACAGAGGUGGCGAGCGUUGUUCGGAUUUACUGGGCGUAAAGGGCGCGUAGGCCGUUGCGUGUGUCGAGUGUGAAAUCCCCGGGCUCAACCCGGGAAGUGCGCUCGAAACUGCGUGACUUGAGCAGAGGAGGGGAGAGCGGAAUUCAUGGUGUAGCGGUGAAAUGCGUUGAUAUCAUGAGGAACACCGGUGGCGAAGGCGGCUCUCUGGAAUCUUGCUGACGCUGAGGCGCGAAAGUCGGGGGAGCAAACA
rnacentral:rRNA from 1 species